GAGUUUGAUACCUCGGCUCAACGAAUCAACGCUGGCGGCGUGCCUAACACAUGCAAGUCGAACGAGAAAGUGGAGCAAUCCAUGAGUAAAGUGGCGACCGGGUGAGUAACACGUGACUAACCUACCCUCGAGUGGGGAAUAACGCCGGGAAACCGGCGCUAAUACCGCAUAACAUCGCAAGAUCAAAGCAGCAAUGCGCUUGAGGAGGGGGUCGCGGCCGAUUAGUUAGUUGGUAGGGUAAUGGCCUACCAAGACGAAGAUCGGUAGCCGGCCUGAGAGGGCGCACGGCCACACUGGAACUGAAACACGGUCCAGACUCCUACGGGAGGCAGCAGUGGGGAAUUUUGCGCAAUGGGGGAAACCCUGACGCAGCAACGCCGCGUGGAGGAUGAAGUCCCUUGGGACGUAAAACUCCUUUUCGACCGGGACGAUAAUGACGGUACCGGUGGAAGAAGCCCCGGCUAAACUUCGUGCCAGCCGCCGCGGUAAC
rnacentral:rRNA from 1 species